UACAGAGGUCCCAAGCGUUGUUCGGAUUCACUGGGCGUAAAGGGUGCGUAGGCGGUCGGGUAAGUCUGACGUGAAAUCUCCAAGCUCAACUUGGAAAUGGCGUCGGAUACUAUUCGGCUCGAGGAGUGGAGGGGAGACUGGAAUUCUCGGUGUAGCAGUGAAAUGCGCAGAUAUCGGGAGGAACACCGGUGGCGAAGGCGGUUCUCUGGGCCUGACCUGACGCUGAGGAGCGAAAGCGUGGGGAGCGAACAGG
rnacentral:rRNA from 1 species